rnacentral:tRNA from 1 species
AAAGAAAAUUUUUAUUCAUUUACAUUGAAUUUUUGUGUAUAUCACUUUCUUUA